AUGUGUCUUGGCUAAUGUGUCUCGGCUAAGGUGUCUUGGCUAAGGUGUCUUGGCUAAGGUGUCUUGGCUAAGGUGUCUCGGCUAAGGUGUCUUGGCUAAGGUGUCUUGGCUAAGGUGUCUUGGCUAAUGUGUCUCGGCUAAGGUGUCUUGGCUAAGGUGUCUUGGCUAAGGUGUCUUGGCUAAUGUGUCUCGGCUAAGGUGUCUUGGCUAAAGUGUCUUGGCUAAUGUGUCUCGGCUAAGGUGUCUUGGCUAAUGUGUCUCGGCUAAGGUGUCUUGGCUAAUGUGUCUUGGCUAAGGUGUCUUGGCUAAGUUGUCUUGGCUAAGGUGUCUUGGCUAAGGUGUCUUGGCUAAGGUGUCUCGGCUAAGGUGUCUGGGCUAAGGUGUCUUGGCUAAGGUGUCUUGGCUAAGGUGUCUUGGCUAAGGUGUCUUGGCUAAGGUGUCUUGGCUAAGGUGUCUUGGCUAAGGUGUAUUGGCUAAGGUGUCUUGGCUAAUGUGUCUUGGCUAAGGUGUCUUGGCUAAGGUGUCUUGGCUAAGGUGUCUUGGCUAAUGUGUCUCGGCUAAGGUGUCUUGGCUAAUGUGUCUUGGCUAAGGUGUCUUGGCUAAGGUGUCUUGGCUAAGGUGUCUUGGCUAAUGUGUCUCGGCUAAGGUGUCUUGGCUAAGGUGUCUUGGCUAAGAUGUGUUGGCUAAGGUGUCUUGGCUAAGGUGUCUUGGCUAAGGUGUCUUGGCUAAUGUGUCUUGGCUAAGGUGUCUUGGCUAAGGUGUCUUGGCUAAGGUGUCUUGGCUAACGUGUCUCGGCUAAGGUGUCUUGGCUAAGGUGUCUUGGCUAAGGUGUCCUGGCUAAGGUGUCUUGGCUAAGGUGUCUUGGCUAAGGUGUCUUGGCUAAGGUGUCUCGGCUAAUGUGUCUCGGCCAAAGUGUCUUGGCUAAGGUGUCUUGGCUAAAGUGUCUUGGCUAAUGUGUCUUGGCUAAGGUGUCUUGGCUAAGGUGUCUUGGCUAAUGUGUCUCGGCUAAGGUGUCUUGGCUAAGGUGUCUUGGCUAAUGUGUCUCGGCUAAGGUGUCUUGGCUAAGGUGUCUUGGCUAAGGUGUCUUGGCUAAGGUGUCUUGGCUAAGGUGUCUGGGCUAAUGUGUCUUGGCUAAGGUGUCUGGGCUAAGGUGUCUUGGCUAAUGUGUCUCGGCUAAGGUGUCUUGGCUAAGGUGUCUUGGCUAAGGUGUCUUGGCUAAGGUGUCUUGGCUAAGGUGUCUUGGCUAAUGUGUCUGGGCUAAGGUGUCUUGGCUAAGGUGUCUUGGCUAAGGUGUCUUGGCUAAGGUGUCUUGGCUAAGGUGUCUUGGCUAAUGUGUCUUGGCUAAGGUGUCUUGGCUAAGGUGUCUUGGCUAAGGUGUCUUGGCUAAGGUGUCUUGGCUAAGGUGUCUUGGCUAAGGUGUCUCGGCUAAGGUGUCUUGGCUAAUGUGUCUCGGCUAAGGUGUCUAGGCUAAGGUGUCUUGGCUAAUGUGUCUUGGCUAAGGUGUCUUGACUAAGGUGUCUUGGCUAAUGUGUCUUGGCUAAGGUGUCUUGGCUAAGGUGUCUUGGCUAAGGUGUCUUGGCUAAUGUGUCUCGGCUAAGGUGUCUUGGCUAAGGUGUCUUGGCUAAGGUGUCUUGGCUAAUGUGUCUUGGCUAAUGUGACUUUUCUAAGGUGUCUUGGCUAAUUUGUCUUGGCUAAUGUGUCUUGGCUAAUGUGUCUUGGCUAAGGUGUCUUGGCUAAGGUGUCUUGGCUAAGGUGUCUUGGCUAAUGUGUCUCGGCUAAGGUGUCUGGGCUAAGGUGUCUAGGCUAAGCUGUCUUGGCUAAGGUGUCUUGGCUAAGGUGUCUUGGCUAAGGUGUCUUAGCUAAGGUGUCUUGGCUAAGGUGUCUUGGCUAAGGUGUCUCGGCUAAUGUGUCUCGGCUAAGGUGUCUUGGCUAAGGUGUCUUGGCUAAGGUGUCUUGGCUAAGGUGUCUUGGCUAAGGUGUCUUGGCUAAGGUGUCUUGGCUAAUGUGUCUUGGCUAAGGUGUCUUGGCUAAGGUGUCUUGGCUAAGGUGUCUUGGCUAAUGUGUCUCGGCUAAGGUGUCUUGGCUAAUGUGUAUUGGCUAAGGUGUCUUGGCUAAGGUGUCUUGGCUAAGGUGUCUUGGCUAAUGUGUCUCGGCUAAGGUGUCUUGGCUAAGGUGUCUUGGCUAAGGUGUCUCGGCUAAGGUGUCUUGGCUAAGGUGUCUUGGCUAAGGUGUCUUGGCUAAGGUGUCUUGGCUAAGGUGUCUUGGCUAAGGUGUCUUGGCUAAGGUGUCUUGGCUAAUGUGUCUUGGCUAAGGUGUCUUGGCUAAGGUGUCUUGGCUAAGGUGUCUUGGCUAAGGUGUCUUGGCUAAGGUGUCUUGGCUAAGGUGUCUUGGCUAAUGUGUCUUGGCUAAGGUGUCUUGGCUAAGGUGUCUUGGCUAAGGUGUCUUGGCUAAUGUGUCUUGGCUAAUGUGUCUCGGCUAAGGUGUCUGGGCUAAGGUGUCUUGGCUAAGGUGUCUUGGCUAUGGUGUCUUGGCUAAGGUGUCUUGGCUAAUGUGUCUCGGCUAAGGUGUCUGGGCUAAGGUGUCUGGGCUAAGGUGUCUUGGCUAAGGUGUCUUGGCGAAGGUGUCUUGGCUAAGGUGUCUUGGCUAAGGUGUCUUGGCUAAGGUGUCUUGGCUAAGGUGUCUUGGCUAAUGUGUCUUGGCUAAGGUGUCUUGGCUAAGGUGUCUUGGCUAAGGUGUCUUGGCUAAUGUGUCUCGGCUAAGGUGUCUUGGCUAAGGUGUCUUGGCUAAGGUGUCUUGGCUAAGGUGUCUUGGCUAAGGUGUCUUGGCUAAGGUGUCUUGGCUAAUGUGUCUCGGCUAAGGUGUCUUGGCUAAGGUGUCUUGGCUAAGGUGUCUUGGCUAAUGUGUCUCGGCUAAAGUGUCUGGGCUAAGGUGUCUUGGCUAAUGUGUCUCGGCUAAGGUGUCUUGGCUAAGGUGUCUUGGCUAAGGUGUCUUGGCUAAGGUGUCUUGGCUAAGGUGUCUUGGCUAAGGUGUCUUGGCUAAGGUGUCUUGGCUAAGGUGUCUUGGCUAAGGUGUCUUGGCUAAGGUGUCUUGGCUAAGGUGUCUUGGCUAAUGUGUCUUGGCUAAUGUGUCUCGGCUAAGGUGUCUUGGCUAAGGUGUCUUGGCUAAGGUGUCUUGGCUAAGGUGUCUCGGCUAAGGUGUCUUGGCUAAGGUGUCUUGGCUAAGGUGUCUUGGCUAAUGUGUCUCGGCUAAGGUGUCUUGGCUAAGGUGUCUUGGCUAAGGUGUCUUGGCUAAUGUGUCUCGGCUAAGGUGUCUUGGCUAAAGUGUCUUGGCUAAUGUGUCUCGGCUAAGGUGUCUUGGCUAAUGUGUCUCGGCUAAUGUGUCUUGGCUAAGGUGUCUUGGCUAAGUUGUCUUGGCUAAGGUGUCUUGGCUAAGGUGUCUUGGCUAAGGUGUCUCGGCUAAGGUGUCUGGGCUAAGGUG